UACGUAGGGGGCUAGCGUUGUCCGGAAUCAUUGGGCGUAAAGCGCGCGUAGGCGGUUACUUAAGUUGGAUGUGAAAGCCCUCGGCUUAACCGAGGAAGUGCAUCCAAAACUGAGUAGCUAGAGUACGAAAGAGGGUCGCGGAAUUCCCGGUGUAGAGGUGAAAUUCGUAGAUAUCGGGAGGAACACCGGUGGCGAAGGCGGCGACCUGGGUCGAGACUGACGCUGAGGCACGAAGGUCAGGGGAGCAAACGGG
rnacentral:rRNA from 1 species